CUAAGCUGUAAUCAGCUUGAUGUGAACUUGAUCUCCAGCUACCCGUCAGCAACCGAUAACUCUGUUCAAUGGUGCUUGAGGAAGGAUCUUCCAUGUCCU